rnacentral:tRNA from 1 species
CAGAGAAUAGUUUAAGGGAAAAUAUUAAUUUUGGGGAUUAAGGAUAGAUGAUUUAUCUUUCUCUGA